rnacentral:misc_RNA from 1 species
UAGAGUUAUACAACUCCCAACCCUUGUGAACAUACCUAUUGUUGCCUCGGCAGGUCCGCAGACCACCGGAGACGGCUAACCCCGUACGGGGGCGGCCUACCCGGGAACCUGCGGGUAAAACCUGCCGGCGGCCCGCAAAACUCUGUUUAGCCAUUGAAACUCUGAAUCAUAACUAAAUAAGUUA